rnacentral:misc_RNA from 1 species
AAGACCUAUCAGACUUGUACCAGUGGUAAACAUGGCGUCCUUAGUUGCGGACUACUCUGACAGUGACGAUGAAGAUUAUCAAAACGAAGAAGUUGCAACGACUACAGUCAGUGUCAAGGAGGAGCCUAAGGAUCCGGUCAAGGAAGAGCCCCGGGACGCCACAGAGAAGACUGGAAAGCCCACCAACUUUUUUGCCACAGCGGAGAAUGAGAGCAAUAGUGAAGAUGAGUCGAAUGAGGGGACGGCAACGUCAGAAAGCAAUACGGUCGUCAAACAGGAGCAGAAAUUACCCAAUCCUCUUACGGCGGAGCUACAAAAACUGCCCAGUCUGAACGAGGCUGCCACUUCCAGAAUCGGGACCUCGGUUUUUGUCAAUCCAUUCGAGGAGGCGGAGCAGGCGAAGAACCAGAUCCUGGAGAAGCACGUCCGUCUCACGGAAGCAGCGCCCAAGAAGCCAGCCCAUCAGCCAGUCUGCUGGAAGUUUAAGAAGGGGAAAUGCUUUCUCGGCAAAAACUGUCGCUUCUUCCACGACAGGGACAAUAUCGCUCUCGAGGAGAACAACGCAGCAAACGCCGAGCCUCCCUCACCAAACUCCAACACGGUGGAAAACCCCAACAGGCCGUCGUACCACUCUUCUGCUUUCAGAAAUGCCGGCAGGCACCAGUUUCAGCCUGAGCCCGUCGACGACGAUAAUUACAUGGCUUCCAUGAAACGCAAACGACGUUACGGGGUUAACGAUCACCUCGUGCCGCCCAAGAAGGCCUUCGAAUCGUUACAACGCCAGAGAAUUAAGGAGCGACCAUGGACAAUGGGUGGGAAAGCACCGUAAGUUUAGAAUUGAUUUUAGCUAUACGGUUUUCCGACCAUGAUGUUCUACGUAGAUGUGUACAACUUGCAAAGAGCAUUCUGGAUAAGACUAAGAUUAACUGUUUUUCGUGGAAAAUUUUCUGACAAAUGGUGCUCAUGUUCUACGUGCAACUUGCGAUUUAAAGCACCCAUGGACAAGGAUUCGUUGUCAUCAUGGACGAUUCUCAGACUUGACUGUGGUGCUGAGGUUCUACAGAUCAUGCACAACUUGCAAUUUUUUACUCUAUGAGUAAGUUUAUUAUAUUUCUGAUUUCGGAUCUCUGUUACCGGUGGCCCAGAGAACAAUGGUCGCAGUUUGGUGUGACUGUUUUUAACUUUUAUUUAGACUGUUUUUGAUCAGGUUCUGAAACUGACUUUGAUAUAUUUUUAAAACCGGAUUCAACUUACAUGGAAAGAAACCAGUUUAAAAACAUUGGAUCGUCUGUUGUUAGCUUUUAUUCCAUUCAAAUGACCCACCUCUUGAUAGAUGUGAAGAAAAAGGCGCUGUAGGACGGAGAAUUGUUUAGGUGUUACAGCUAAGACGGCUUUGACUGCAGUGUCUUGAUGGAACGUUUUAAUGCAACAAAAUGUGCGUGAACUAAUGUGUGUACUUCCUGCAUGUGUUUACACAUCAUGUCAGGGUUUUAAAAGGAUGAGAUCACUUUGUUUUAAAACUGAUGUUAGCCUUGCACACUCACACACACACACACACACACACACUCUCUCUCUCUCUCUCUCUCUCUCUCUCUCUCUCUCUCUCUCUCUCUCUCGAGUAUACCCACACAUAGGCCCACAAUUACAUGCUUUUAAUAUAAAACAAUUAUUUAUUGUUAAAAUUUUUAAUGAUAAAAUAAUUUUUAUAAUACUGUCCACAUAAUCUGAUAAUUUCUGAUAGUAAUUCAAUUUAAUAUUCUGAUUGAAAAUUUUUUACACUCUUUACAGAGAUAGAAAUAAAAGAUAAUUUAGAGUCCAGUUUUGAGGUUAAAAGUUCUAGACAUUGAAAGUUGCAGAGUUGAUCAAAAGGUUUGGUAAAUGGUGGAGGGGAAGGCAUUCAUAAUAAAGGGAAAUAAUUUGGUCUGUGUGCAGGACAUCUCUCUCUCUCUUUCUCUUACCUGGUGUCAAAAGCAAUCACGGCCAGCAGUGUUGGCAGCGGAAUCUAUGUGUUCAGAUUUUUAACCUCUUCCAAAAGCUCUGUGAUGUGUGCUUACGAAGUAGUAUAUGCCACUAGCAAUGGCAUACACCAUACCAUGUGGGUGCAAAAUGAAAAUGUGUGGUAUAUAUCUUAGUUGUUUUUUUUUAAACAAGAAUGUUUUGACUGGUCCAGUGUCAUUAUGUUGUCAUCUUUGAUAUCUAGAGAAUAUUUCUUUUGUGAUUGAUGUUCACAUGCAUCAUGUGACAUGUUUGUUCUGAAUCCAAUGUAAGAGAAGUGAAGAAUUUUUUGUUUGCAUGAUGUGUGUGACAUUAGUCCUCCAGGUUUUGUUUCUUUUUUUCCCUUGUUUAGUUUGUAUGCUGAAGUUGUUUUUUUCAUUUUAAUUUCCAUGUCAUUCACCAUCUAUAUCCAGUUUUUUUGUUUUUUGUUUAAUAUAAGGUUUUUUAUGAUCACGUUAUCCAUCUUAUAAAUCUUAACCAUUUACUGGAGGUCAAUUUAACCAAGAUAGCAUGAUGUUAUCAUAUCACUGCCAGUGUGUGCAUUUCUCUUCAGUUGAGACACUAGCAUGGAAUGUUGGAUGCACUAAUGAGUCAAGACAGUGUGUCUCUGGUACAUGUUGUAAUAGACACAAUUUUCAAGUUCCCACACCUACCGACAGUGCGGUUUCUCUGUCAUUGUCAUUUUAUAUGAGUUUUCAAGCACUUAUAAAUGAUCUAAUUUGUGUCAUGAGGGGCAUAUAUAAACACCUACAUUUGAAACAUAUUUUUUAGAAACACUGGUAUAUAUCUCCUUCUUAUUAUAUGAAAAGCUAUCAGUGUAUUUUGUUAUAAGAGUGUACGCUGAUGAUGUAAGAACAACUCUGUCCUUGAGUUUUGUGAUGGGCGCCAUGUUGAACGUUAAUACAUUUAUUGGUCAAGGCAAAGUGAGGCUCAAAAAGAGCAUGACAGGUCUUGCUUCGAAUCUCUGGUUUGGGUUUCUCGUUUUGUCUGCCCGAUGUAUCCCGUUUCUGGUCUAGGUAUACAGUGGAGGCUUUGAAGUUUUAUUAGGUUUGAUAGAGACAUUCUGUUAUAAGAGCGGAAGUGGACAUUUUAAUCUCUACUCUUGUCUUUUAAUUCGAAGCAAUUUUUUAUCAUAUAAAUAAGAAAGUAAAUAGAGUUAAAGAACAGUGAUGUCCAUCUUUUUAAUUGAUGUAAUAUUCAUGUACAUCUUGAUCUUGCAAUACUGUAGGUUUUCGUCCAUCUGAAGUGUUCAGAGUAUUGACUGAUAAUUUCAGGACUCUGUCCUUGAGUUUUGCGAUGGACCCCACCGUGUGAGGUGUCUGGUAUUUUUGGUUGGGACAAAAUGAGGCUCAAAUAAAGAGCAUGACAGGUCUUCCUUCGAAUCUCUGGUUUGGGUUUUUCGUUUUGUCUGCCCGAUGUAUCUCGUUUCUGGUCUAGAUAUACAGUGGGGGCUCUGACAUUUUGGGUUAUUUUCCCUUUCUUUUAAAUUUUGCAUUCAUUUCUUCAUGUCUAAUAGAGACAGGGCUGAAAAUGGGAGGAAAUUUGACAUUUUUUCCAACACUUUAGUCUUUUAACUUGGACCAAGAUUUUAUUGUAUGAAAGCAGACAGCUGAAUUGAAGAACAAUUGUAUCCUCUACUUUUUAACAGGUGUUAUAUAUAUUAAUUUCUGCGUACAUUCUUGAAUCUUGCCAUGUGUGAUGAAUGUUCAUCCCCCUCAUCUCAGAAUUUGAAGGAAUUUUGUUUUAAAGCUAGCACACUCCUUUCAAAUGUUAAAGUUAUUAUAACAGCUCUUACAAAAACACUUUUACUUUUGUGCUUCUUUGGACUACUAUGAAUUUUUAAUGGAUUUUUAAUUACUGUUUUGUCCUUCUCUAGUGGUGAUAGAUAGUGAUGUUUUAUACAUUUGUCAAUGAAUGUCCAUCAGAGAGAAAUAGUAAAGCGUUGCUGUGUAUUUUUCCCUUAGAGUGAAGAUAGUGUGUGUAGGUGAGGUGAAGGAGUAGGCUCACAACUACACACUAUGUGUGUCAGGUGAAGGAGUAGGCUCACAACUACACAGUGUGUGUGUCAGGUGAAGGAGUAGGCUAACAGCUCACAAUGUUUCCACAACUACACACUAUGUGUGGUUUCUGUGUUGUUGUCGUAGACAUCAUUUUUGAAGCAUUAGUAUAAAUUGUGUCCAUAGGGGUAUUAUAAUAACACAUUUUUAAAAAAUGUUUUGAGAAGCACUGGUAUCUCUUUUUAUCAUUAAAUAAAAGCUACAAAGUACAAAAGUAUGUUCGCUGAGUAUGUCAGAACUGUUGUCCCGAUGGAGUUUUGCGAUAUAGACCCCACAUGAGGCGUGUUCGUACAUUCAGUCAGGACAAAAUGAAGGCUCAAAUAAAGAGCAUGACAGGUCUUCCUUCGAAUCUCUGGUUUGGGUUUUUCGUUUUGUCUGUCCGAUGUAUCUCGUUUCUGGUCUAGCUAGGUAAACAGAUGGGGCUUUGAGGUUAAAUAGAUCAAGCUAGAUUUAAGAACAAUGAGGUCCUAUUUUUUAAUUUGGUGUAAUAUUUGUAUACACAUCUUUGAGUGUUGCAGUGCUGUAGAUUUUUAUCCAUCUCAGAAUUGGAAAAAUUUUUAAUUUCACAUUGACACACUUCUUUUAAAUUAUUUUUGAGUAUUUCGACUCUUGCUAAUGAAAUACAUUUUUAAUUUUGGGCAUUUGGGCAUCAUGUUGGUAUUACAAAAUUUUUACUACUAUGACAUUUUCGAGGGAUCAUGGUGAUGCUUUAAGAAUUUUCACUUAAAUAAAGAAAUAAUUCAUGUUCAUAUUGUGAUAUUAUUGUGACAUGAUGUGUUUAUAUGCCAUUUGUUGUAUCAUUAAGUAAGUUAUUUUUAAAACAUUAUUUGCAUGGUCUCUGCAUGUUCGCGAGUAAAUGACUGAAUGUUACGGCAGGCAAUAAACUUGAUGCAUUUAAUUUUAAACUUA